rnacentral:rRNA from 1 species
GUGGGGAAUUUUGCGCAAUGGGCGAAAGCCUGACGCAGCGACGCCGCGUGUGCGAUGAAGGCCCUUGGGUCGUAAAGCACUGUCAACGGGGACGAAAACUCGGGGAAGAAUAUACCCUGGGCUUGACGGUACCCGUGGAGGAAGCACCGGCUAACUCUGUGCCAGCAGCCGCGGUAAUACAGAGGGUGCAAACGUUGUUCGGAAUUACUGGGCGUAAAGCGCGUGUAGGCGGCGUGUUAAGUCGACUGUGAAAGCCCAUGGCUCAACCAUGGAAGUGCAGUUGAUACUGGCAUGCUCGAGUCCCGGAGAGGGUGGUGGAAUUCCCAGUGUAGAGGUGAAAUUCGUAGAUAUUGGGAGGAACACCGGUGGCGAAGGCGACCACCUGGACGGGUACUGACGCUGAGACGCGAAAGCGUGGGGAGCAAACAGGAUUAGAUACCCUAGUAGUCC